rnacentral:rRNA from 1 species
UACGAAGGGGGCUAGCGUUGCUCGGAAUCACUGGGCGUAAAGCGCACGUAGGCGGAUUGCUAAGUCAGGGGUGAAAUCCUGGAGCUCAACUCCAGAACUGCCUUCGAUACUGCGGGUCUCGAGUCCGGGAGAGGUGAGUGGAAUUCCUAGUGUAGAGGUGAAAUUCGUAGAUAUUAGGAAGAACACCAGUGGCGAAGGCGGCUCACUGGCCCCGGUACUGACGCUGAGGCGCGAAAAGCGUGGGGAGCAAACAGGG